UUCACCAUUUCCUAAAACCUUGCCUCUUAGAUGCCAUCCCUUGUUACUUCUUUUUAAUUUGCUAGAGGACAGCUUCAAGCAACAUCCUAAGAAAAAGCUAAAAAACAGAUAAAUAAAUUUGGGCACAGAGAGGUUAAAUAACUUGUUGAAGGUGAAACAGCCAACAAGAAUGGAGCUAGUAUUCAGCCAAGGUGUUUACUGAAGAAUUCACACACAACAGGAAGUAUUCCUGGUGCUGGG